UGUGUCGGCCGCGGUACCAAGACCACGAGCGCCAGUGACCAAUAUUCCCUCGAGGUCCUCGAGCGCCAUGAUUGUAACAAGCUGUAGCAUCGUCGUCACGGUCUGUACCGGAUAUUACAUUUGUAAUAGAAGUGUGUAAGUUGUGGGUAUUCUUUAGGGAAUCAUUCGAGAGAAAUGCAGUUUCCUCAUAUUUUGAAAAAAAUACGGUGUUCGUGAUAUUAUUCCACUGUUGCAAGUUCUAGUUGGGAUUCUUCUAAACUGAGCAGCGCCCAUUCUGAGGGUCAUGUUUCUAGUAGAAUGCAUAUUUAUGCCCUUUCUCGCCUGUUACACAUACCAAUCCGACAUCUAAAGGAAGUAGUGAGAGCUGAUCGUCUAUGACUUGGGCAAAUAUUCAGAGCCAUGUACUGGUACACUAGGAUUUUUGUAAAUCAGUUCAUAUGCCACCCACAAAGCAGCACUUGUGAUAAAAUAAAGUUUCAAGGUUAUGGAAGAUUCUGCAUUCUCUUACAACAGGAAUGCUGAGAAUUCUGCUACAGAGAGCUGAAGAAACAUUUCGUGCUGUGACAGAAAGGAUGAACUGUACAAAUUCAGAGAAGGUUUUAGUGGGUCCACAU